GACGAACGCUGGCGGCGCGCCUAACACAUGCAAGUCGAACGAAGUAUACUGGCAGAAGCCCUCGGGUGGAAGCUGGUAUUGCUUAGUGGCGAACGGGUGAGUAACACGUGAAUAACCUGCCCCUCGGUGGGGGACAACAUUAGGAAACUGAUGCUAAUACCGCAUAAGACCACAGUGCCGCAUGGCACAGUGGCCAAAGGAUUAAUUCGCCGAGGGAUGGAUUCGCGUCCAAUUAGCUAGAUGGUGAGGUAAUGGCUCACCAUGGCAACGAUUGGUAGCCGGACUGAGAGGCUGAUCGGCCACAUUGGGACUGAGACACGGCCCAGACUCCUACGGGAGGCAGCAGUGGGGGAUAUUGCACAAUGGAGCAAACUCUGAUGCAGCGACGCCGCGUGAGGGAAGAAGGUUUUCGGAUUGUAAACCUCUGUCUUCGGGGACGAUAAUGACGGUACCCGAGGAGGAAGCCACGGCUAACUACGUGCCAGCCGCCGCCGUAACAC
rnacentral:rRNA from 1 species